UAUAUUUGACUAAUAUUUGCGGAUCUUGACUACUAACAAGAUUCAAAAAAAAAAACUCAAAUUGCUUCUAUUUCAAUAUUUGCAAAUUCAAAUCUAGAUUUUACUAACCGACUAAAUUAAAUCGACUCGCCACGUUAAGCAAUUACCAAUUCGAGUUGGAUGUAAUUUUGAAGCUAUAUUAUUUUAGAUAUAUGAACUAGCAAAACUAAAAUUGAUAAAUAUGCAAUUCCUACAGAAAUACGUCCAUAGUUCAACAAUCUAAUCUAUCUGCUCAAAUUAAAUAUGCAUACCGUAUCCACUAAUAUUCAUGUCAUUUCAAGGAUCUUAAUUCCGUAAGUUAAUGUUAUGCCUUAUCCAAAUGCUAAUAAGUGAUCUUAUAAAAAUGGUCUUAAUUAUACAUGCCUCUACCAUUCAUAUAACAAGAAACAUAUAACUAAUAUUUAACUGAAAUAUAAUUAUUCUACAAUUAAAUAUAUAAAUCUUAUGUCCCUUUUAUUUCAUGCUCGAUCACACAUUUAUGCCAUGUAUUUAACUCAAGUGUGUACCUGGAUUAGAGAAAUAGGACAAGAGAAGAAAAGGAUCAGCAGUGGCAAAGCAGCAAGAACAAUCAGCAACAACAGCAGCAAAUCGAACACCCAGGGACAGAUUUUAAAACCAACAGAGAUGAUUCCACAACCAAUAACAGAUUCGAAAAUAACCUAACAACAAUAUCAAAACUAGCCAAUGAACUCAAAGACAUACUAGAGUUACUUAGCAUCAGUCUCAGUGUAUUUGAAUCAAAAGAAAAAUUAAUGAAGCAAAAGGGAAGCUUCAAUUAAACAGUGGGGUUUUCAGCUCUCUAAUUUUUUCUCAACUUUCAAUUCUUUUUCCUUCUUUGUUUUUGUUCUCUUAAGUUCUGAAAAUCUUUUUCUCUCUCUAAUUUUCCCGUCUUAAGUGACAAAAGACUUCUAUUAUAUAUACACAAAUGCAAGACCAUUUUCUCUCCCUUUAAUAAUUAUUACUACCCUUUUAUUAUUACCCUACUCCUUUUGCUUCUACUUUCCAGCUUUUAUGAUUAAAGCAAAAAGUAGUUAAACAUGGACCCCACAGUCCCCACCCUUUUACUUUAUAUCAUUAUGCUCCCCACUCUCUUUUUUACUUUACAUAAUUAUGCUCCCCACUAUAUUUUAAAUAAUUCUUUAUAUUUUUUAGUGGACCAAGCACUCAACAUAAAUAAUUCAACAAGCUGUAAAUUCCCGUAUUACCCCCGGACUUACUAAAAAUUACUCUUUUACCCCCAAACCCUUUCAACCUGUAACAAAACUAAUUCCUAACUAAUCACCAAAUUACUACAGCUAUAACUAAAUUCCUAAUCAAAUUCAACCAAUAAAUCAAACUAAAUGAUGAACAACAAAGAAAAAAAAUUAUUUUGACUGAAUAACAUUUUUAACAACAAAUAUAUUUUCAGAUUCAAUAUUAGAUUCAUAUCAGAACAACAUUUGGAUUCAUCAACUCAAAUCACAAUUUAAUCUUGAAAUUCAAUUAAGACUAAAUAUCAUCCAAACAAAGAUUCAUUGAUUAAACUAAACACUUCUAGAUUAAACUAAACAAGAAGAAACGAACAUUGUAUACAUACUGGACGAAACUAAAUUCAUAUGAAGUAAAACCAACAAUACACAAAAUAAAACCAUUUGAACCAAAUAAUACCAAACAAUUGUAGGAGUGUUUACUAUUUGUGCAAGCAUUUGAAACUAACUAAUUAAGCAAAGAAAUAUCACUAAAACUUAAUCAAGAAACUAACCUCAAAUAUCCGAAGAAGAUAUUGAGACCAAACCAAAACAAUGAGCCAGACCGGAGAUCGGACCCAACCUUAGCGACUCAAGACAAACAUGGACUUAACCCAACUUUAAUCCCUGUUCAUCCUUAGAUGCGAGCUGGUUUUAACAUGAAUGGCAGAUGUUUGUUUGGUCAGUGACCUUGGUUGACGAAGAGGGUGACAGACUGGGACUUGGUGUAGCAAUUGAAUGGUUGUUUUUUAUUUUUUGACGCAGCAUGGUCGACAAGCUGCUGGUGUAAAGGACUGGCUGGUCGUUUGUGUGAAAGCAGACGGGCAGUGGGGUGGCGUGAAGGCUGUUGGUUCGCUGGAGAUGGUCGACUGGCAGCAGGAUGGUUGCUGCGUAAGGGUGAAGACGAUGGGAAUGAGGGGUUACUAUUUGACGAAGGGCUGUUUUAGGUGAGGGAGGAGGGGGUUAGGGUUUGGGUAAGGGGUGUGUUUAGAGAAGAUGAUGAUAAGGGGGGUGGGGUGUUUGGAG
rnacentral:lncRNA from 1 species